UACAGAGGGGGCAAGCGUUAUCCGGAAUUAUUGGGCGUAAAGAGCUCGUAGGCGGUUUGUCGCGUCUGCCGUGAAAGUCCGGGGCUCAACUCCGGAUCUGCGGUGGGUACGGGCAGACUAGAGUGAUGUAGGGGAGACUGGAAUUCCUGGUGUAGCGGUGAAAUGCGCAGAUAUCAGGAGGAACACCGAUGGCGAAGGCAGGUCUCUGGGCAUUAACUGACGCUGAGGAGCGAAAAGCAUGGGGGAGCGAACAGG
rnacentral:rRNA from 1 species